AUGAUUGGAGGGUGGUGCCAAAUGUGAAUAAAGAUGAUAUGUGGGGGCUUGUCAUGGUAAUGGUUACGAUGCUUUUUUUUUAGUUUUUUUUUUUUUGUUCAUUAUGUGAUUGUCUGCUUUUAACAUGUGAUGCAGUCCAAGUUUGAGUUUGACGGUAAUAUUAAGGCUUGGGUACUGAAGUCACUUGGUAAAAAAUGGAGGGAAUGGAAGGGCAAGCUAAAGAAACUCUACUACUCUUCUCAUGAGACUGAUGAGGAGCGGCUCACAGAUCUUGAUGAGUGGGUUCAAGAGGAUCAAUGGAAGACUCUCGUUCAGUUUUGAAACUCUAAAGAGGGGAAGGUAUGCCUCAUUCAAUUAUAGAAUUAUACAAAAUCUUUUGUUGAUAUCUUAUAAUUUACUCUGUCAGUGUGUCACAUAUAGGCUUGUUCAAAAAAAUAAAUAAAGAGAAUUAGAAGAAACAAUUGAUUAACCACGCGGCAGGCUCGAAGAGUUUUGCGCGAAUACGCGAGGAAGAAAGGAAAAUGGCUAAUGGGGAGGAUCUGAGCUAGGCAGAUAUGUUUAUCUUAACUCAUACAUGCAAAGAUGGAAAGCCUGUGGAUGAGGCCUCAUCAGUAGUAAUGACAAAACUUAAUGAAGAAAUAUCUCAACAACCCGGGGCCUCACAGAGUAGCACGGCAAUGAAUGAUCUAUUAUCUCAAGUCAUGGGAGAGGACAAGUAUGGUCGUGUCCGCACUUAUGGGUUAGGACCAUCUCCAUCUGAUUUAUGGGGUGCAACAUCCAGCCAACAAAGGAUGGCUUCCAUUGAUCAGAGGAGAGAUGAAAGAUAUGAGGAACUACAUGCUGAUAUAGUCUCUCUUAAAGAAAAUAUACUUGCACUCUCAUCCUCAAGAGAAGCUGAAAUGUCAUCCAUUAAAGAAACUAUGGUUAAAAUCUCAUCCACAAGAGAUACUGAAAUUUCUUCCUUAAAAGAAACUCUGAUGAAAUUGAUAUCCACUAUGAAUAAUACAAACAAUAACCCACCCACAAUAUUUGGUGCUGCAGCUAGUUCUAAUAUGAACCAAUCGUCCUCAUCAUCAAGCCAUUAGGUGAUCUCUCGGAAACACUCGACGAAUAAGGGGAAGACCACGAGUUGCACUAGUGCUGAGGAUGUGACUAGAGUUCUUCUUACAAGUAUUGUCAAACCCGGGGUUACUAUUGCUAAAGGAAUUGUUUUGAGCAAGGAUCCGCUCACAAAAGUAGGGGGCAUGAACUUGGAAUUGGUUUUUGCGAAGUAUUAAUUCAUGUGGCAAUAGUACGGGAGGAGGUUUUAAUAAGACCUUAUAGACGAUGUAAAAUAA